CCAGACUCCUACGGGAGGCAGCAGUGAGGAAUAUUGGUCAAUGGUCGGGAGACUGAACCAGCCAAGCCGCGUGAGGGAUGAAGGUACAGGGUAUCGUAAACCUCUUUUGUCAGGGAACAAAGGCGGGGACGUGUCCCCGGAUGAGUGUACCUGAAGAAAAAGCAUCGGCUAACUCCGUGCCAGCAGCCGCGGUAAUACGGAGGAUGCGAGCGUUAUCCGGAUUUAUUGGGUUUAAAGGGUGCGCAGGCGGUCUGUAAGGCCGGGGGAAAACGCGCGGGCCCACCCCCCGCCCCGCCGUUGAAACUGGCAGUCUCGAGUUGGAGAGAAGUAUGCGGAAUGCGCGGUGUAGCGGUGAAAUGCAUAGAUAUCACGCAGAACUCCGAUUGCGAAGGCAGCAUACCGGCGCCCAACUGACGCUGAAGCACGAAAGCGUGGGUAUCGAACAGGAUUAGAUACCCUUGUA
rnacentral:rRNA from 1 species